GAGAGCCUGUGGGUCAAGAUUAAAGGGCAGGCCAACAGGCGUGACACUGUGGUAGGUGUUUACUACAGGCCACUUGACCAGGGAGAGGAAGUCAUCGAUGAAGCCUU